rnacentral:lncRNA from 1 species
AGAUGCAGACCUCUUACCCCGUCCUGCUGGUCAUCUCCAAAGGCAUGGUUGUGGGUUCAAUUGCUAGGAAGUACAGAUGGUCCCUGGAAAUGGGUUCUGCUUAGACUGGCUUCUUAUAAACACGUGUAGCUGAGCACUAUUUUGAUGAAGGAGAGAGACAUGGUGGCUGGGGUAAAGUUGCCUCCCAUUUUAGAGAAACAACUUAUAAUCACAUUCUCAGGUCCUUUGGGGAUCUAGAGUGGUGGGAUCAUGUUGCCCAUGAAGCUACGUUGGAGCUAAUAGGAGUGCUCCCUGUUGAGAAGGAGAUUUCAAAGUGAAGAAACAGAUUGAAAGAGCCUCUACCACUUCAGCAUAGCCUGCUCCAUCUCAACCUUAUUCAUGUCAGUAUAAUAGGUUAUUAUUAAAGGCUUCCUGAAGCUUAUGGUCUAUUUGAGAACGAUGAGGUAUUCACCGCCUGCCAAUCAUGCUCUUCACAAUUAGGAAGUUUAUGCCUCAGUUAAUGGUUUUUCUUUUCCUCAUGAUGUAACAAGAGAAUUUAUCCUGAUGAUGUAAACCUAGAGAUACUACUGGUAGCCAUUUUUAUCACCAAGUGAUAACAGAGAUGGCCUGAGAAUGAAGCCAAGAAAGAGCACCACAGAACUAAGAGAAAGAACAGCUUCUGGAUACCUGAACAUGUGGAAGUUCCUGGAGGGUGGUGCACCCAGGAACUUGCACAUGUUCCAAGCAAGAGAAAGCAUGGAAACUCUGCACCCCUUCCCCUCAUUCCUCACCCUAGUAUCUCUUCAUCUGUAUCCUUUGCAAUAUCCUUUAUAAU